rnacentral:rRNA from 1 species
UGGUGGAGUGAUUUGUCUGGUUAAUUCCGUUAACGAACGAGACCUCAGCCUACUAAAUAGUCGCUCCUAUCCUGAAUAGGUGAAGACUUCUUAGAGGGACUUUGCAAGCAACUGCAAGGAAGUUUGAGGCAAUAACA